rnacentral:misc_RNA from 1 species
GAUGAAGAACGUAGCGAAAUGCGAUAAGUAGUGUGAAUUGCAGAUUUCAGUGAAUCAUCGAAUCUUUGAACGCACAUUGCGCCCUUUGGUAUUCCUUAGGGCAUGCCUGUUCGAGCGUCAUUUAAACCUUCAAGCUCAGCUUGGUGAUGGGUGACUGUCCUCUGCCUCCCCCCGGGGUGCGCCGCGGACUCGCCUCAAAACGAUUGGCGGCCGGUACGUUGGCUUCGAGCGCAGCAGAAACGCGUAACUCGAGGUCACCGUGGCGGCUCCCAGAAGCAACCUUAUUAUUUUGACCUCGGAUCAGGUAGGGAUACCCGCUGAACUUAAGCAUAUCAAUAAGCGGAGGA